GAGAAAGAGCUGGACAACAGGGGUUGUCCUUUUCACGGUAUGUGUCCCCCAUGCAGGCAAAGCACUUGAGAUUGAGAGGCAAAGUGCGAGGCCAGCAGCCAUGGAGACGUCGUCGGAAUCCGAAAAAGAUGAUGAACAAGAUCGAUAUGUAGUUCGAUAAUAAAUGUUACAACUGUA
rnacentral:misc_RNA from 1 species